rnacentral:rRNA from 1 species
UACAGAGGUCCCAAGCGUUGUUCGGAUUCACUGGGCGUAAAGGGUGCGUAGGUGGUGAGGUAAGUCGGAUGUGAAAGCUCGGAGCUCAACUCCGAAAUGGCAUUGGAAACUACCUUGCUCGAGGGUUGGAGGGGGGACUGGAAUACUUGGUGUAGCAGUGAAAUGCGUAGAUAUCAAGUGGAACACCAGUGGCGAAGGCGAGUCCCUGGACAACUUCUGACGCUGAGGCACGAAAGCUAGGGGAGCAAACAGG